rnacentral:misc_RNA from 1 species
AACUUUUGACAAUGGAUCACUUGGUUCCGGCAUCGAUGAAGAACGCAGCGAAAUGCGAUACGUAAUGUGAAUUGCAAAUUCAGUGAAUCAUCGAGUCUUUGAACGCACAUUGCGCCCUCUGGUAUUCCGGAGGGCAUGCCUGUCCGAGCGUCAUUGCUGCCCUCAAGCACGGCUUGUGUGUUGGGCCCCGUCCUCCGCUCCCGGGGGACGGGCCCGAAAGGCAGCGGCGGCACCGCGUCCGGUCCUCGAGCGUAUGGGGCUUUGUCACCCGCUCUGUAGGCCCGGCCGGCGCUUGCCGAUCAACCAAAUUUUUAUCCAGGUUGACCUCGGAUCAGGUAGGGAUACCCGCUGAACUUAAGCAUAUCAAUAAGCGGAGGCU